GUACACGCUGUGACUAGCAUAUCAAUAAGCGGAGGAAAAGAAACUAACAAGGAUUCCCCUAGUAACGGCGAGUGAAGCGGGAAGAGCUCAAAUUUGAAAUCUUAAAGGGUUUCCCUUUACGAAUUGUAGUUUAAAGAAGUGUUUUCUGUUGAGGUUUUGGUAAAAGUUCUUUGGAAUAGGACAUCAUAGAGGGUGAGAAUCCCGUAUUUGACCUUUACUUUCAACUUUGUGAUACACUUUCAAAGAGUCGGAUUGUUUGGGAAUGCAGUCCAAAAUGGGUGGUAAAUUUCAUCUAAAGCUAAAUAUUGGCGAGAGACCGAUAGCGAACAAGUACCGUGAGGGAAAGAUGAAAAGAACUUUGAAAAGAGAGUUAAACAGUACGUGAAAUUGUCAAAAGGGAAGCGUUUGACACCAGUGUUGUUUUUCCGAAAAUCAAUUAAAGAACUGUUUAUGCUAAGUUGUUUAGACUUUAUCAGCUAACUGUUUAGUUUUGAGCUUUUCUUUAAUGCACUUUUCAGUUAACAAGUCAACAUCAAUUUCUUUUGCUGUAAAAAAGCUUGAGGAAGGUGGCUUGAGAUUCGUCUUAAGUGUUUAUAGCCUCUUGCCUAUGCAGUCGGAGAGAUUGAGGUCUGCAGCGUAGAUCCUUCGGGGCUAAAUGCAUUUGUGCUAAGUUAUAGCAUUUUAUAGACAACUUGUUGACUAUGAUUUGUCUUGUAGCUUACUCGCUUAUGUUAUUUUACCUACGCUUAGGAUGUUGACGCGCGUGUGUGCGUG
rnacentral:rRNA from 1 species